GGGCGUGGAGCUUGUAAAGCAUUUAGUUUCGACCUAAAAGUAGAAUAACCCAGAUUAUUCCAAGCUCU
rnacentral:tRNA from 1 species